rnacentral:rRNA from 1 species
AGUAACUAAUUGGAAACGAUAGCUAAUAACCGCAUAAAAUUGAUUAUCGCAUGAUAAUCAAUUGAAAAGGUGCAAAUGCAUCACUACCAGAUGGACCUGCGUUGUAUUAGCUAGUUGGUGGGGUAACGGCUCACCAAGGCGACGAUACAUAGCCGACCUGAGAGGGUGAUCGGCCACACUGGGACUGAGACACGGCCCAGACUCCUACGGGAGGCAGCAGGA